GAAAUGGGUUCUUCUAAGAUGAUGCCUUAUCUGAACAUGUUUGUAUUCUCAAAUAUUGGUGGGAUAGUUGCUGAUCACUUGAUCACAAAGAGAAUCCUAUCUGUGACCAGAACCCGAAAGUUCUUAAACACUAUAGGAUUUUUCAUUGCUUCUCUUGCAUUAAUGGCUCUUCCCAUUUUCAGAACUUCUAAUGGGGCAGUUUUCUGUUCUUCUGUGGCACUUGGG
rnacentral:misc_RNA from 1 species